rnacentral:rRNA from 1 species
AACAAACGCUGGCGGCGUGCCUAAUACAUGCAAGUCGAACGGGGAAAGCUUCCGGGCGAGUACUAGUGGCGCACGGGUGAGGAACACGUGGAUAGUCUGCCUUGGAGAGGGGGAUAACUAGUCGAAAGAUUAGCUAAUACCGCAUAAGACCACAGGAACUGAGGUUCUAGGGGUCAAAGGUUUUUCGCUCCAAGAUGAGUCCGCGUAAGAUUAGCUAGUUGGUGAGGUAAUGGCUUACCAAGGCGACGAUCUUUAACUGGUCUGAGAGGAUGAUCAGUCACACUGGAACUGAGACACGGUCCAGACUCCUACGGGAGGCAGCAGUAGGGAAUAUUGCACAAUGGAGGAAACUCUGAUGCAGCGACGCCGCGUGAGUGAUGAAGGCCUUCGGGUCGUAAAGCUCUGUCGCAGGGGAAUAAAAAAAUGAAGGUACCCUGCAAGAAAGGAUCGGCUAACUUCGUGCCAGCAGCCGCCGUAA